GGGCUCACACAAGCGGUGGAGGAUGUGGCUUAAUUCGAGGCUACGCGAAGAACCUUAUCCUGGGUUUGACAUGCACGGAUCAACCCUGUGAAAGCAGGGCCACGCCCUUUGGGUGGAACGUGCACAGGUGCUGCAUGGCUGUCGUCAGCUCGUGUCGUGAGAUGUCGGGUUAAGUCCCUUAACGAGCGAAACCCUUGUCACUAGUUGCCAGCGAGUAACGUCGGGGACUCUAGUGAGACUGCCGGUGUUAAACCGGAGGAAGGUGGGGAUGACGUCAAGUCCUCAUGGCCUUUAUGCCCAGGGCUGCACACGUCCUACAAUGGCGCGCACAAAGGGAAGCGAACCCGCGAGGGCAAGCAAAUCCCAAAAAACGCGCCCCAGUUCGGAUUGCAGGCUGCAACUCGCCUGCAUGAAGCCGGAAUCGCUAGUAA
rnacentral:rRNA from 1 species